rnacentral:sRNA from 1 species
UAACAAGGGGGUAGCGAAAAGAUGGCAAAGGGGUAGCUAUUACAUAUAGUUUUGUUAACAUCUUUUUCGUACGAGUUACUAAGCAAACAUCUUCAAUAUUUAUUACUUACUUUCCUUUCUAUUUAGCCGACUAGCAUAGCUAGUUGGCUUUAU